rnacentral:rRNA from 1 species
CAGCCGCCGCGGUAAUACCAGCUCUCCGAGUGGUGUGGAUGUUUAUUGGGCCUAAAGCAUCCGUAGCUGGCCAAGUUAGUCCCCUGUUAAAUCCACCGAUUCAAUCGUUGGAGUGCGGGGGAUACUGCUCGGCUAGGGGACGGGAGAGGCCGACGGUAUUUUCGGGGUAGGGGUGAAAUCCUAUAAUCCCGGGAAGACCACCAGUGGCGAAGGCUGUCGGCUAGAACGCGCCCGACGGUGAGGGAUGAAAGCUGGGGUAGCGAACCGGAUUAGAUACCCGGGUAGUCCCAGCUGUAAACGAUGCAGGCUAGGUGUUUGGGCGGCCACGUGCCGCUCUAGUGCCGCAGGGAAGUCGUUAAGCCUGCCGCCUGGGGAGUACGGUCGCAAGGCUGAAACUUAAAGGAAUUGGCGGGGGAGCACCACAAGGGGUGAAGCUUGCGGUUUAAUUGGAGUCAACGCCGGAAAUCUCACCGGGAGCGACAGCAGGUUGAAGGCCAGAUUAAAGGUCUUGCUAGACGAGCUGAGAGGAGGUGCAUGGCC